UUCGGAGCUCGGCGGGGCCACCGUCGACUAAAAUAUAAUGCGAAAUCCAAGAAAUUGAAGCUGAUUUAGCUAUGUCGGACAUAGAUCUCUCGGAGGACGAUGACAUGACGACAUAAAUGACUCACCAUGAACCCGUAGAAUUUGAAUUUUGUGAUGAUGAUAUCCAGGAGCUGCUAGCUGAGCCUUUCAUUUUAUCUUAUUUUGUUCCUAUAUUGAUCCCAAUAAUUAUAAUAGAUGAUAUGUAAGAGUUUAUCUAGAAUAAAUAUAAGUUCUAAACUUAUGUGAGACUGAUUUAAAGUGUUAAAUGUGUUCCUAAGUGGUUCUUAUUUCAUUAGUUUUGUUAUUUCUAACAAAUUACCUUAUAAAUAUAUUUUCUACCAAUAAA